CUGUGGGAGCCAGAGAGCAGGCAGGGUGUGGCGGGCGCCUGACUGACGGCCCCGUCUCCUGCUAGACCAGUCUCGGCUCCGCACAGCGGCCUGCUAGGGCGGCCGGAAGGCAGGCAGCAAGGACUCAGCCCUCAGCCGCGCAGGAUCGCUGCUGUGCAAGAGGGGAUCUAUUCAAAGCGUUUGCAACAUGCCACUCACGCGCCUGCUGUGGCCCUCACGUCCGGUUAACACUUCCGCACUCCUGUUGGUGGGCGGCCCUGCUUGGCCGCUGCGCUGGCGACUCAGAUCCUCAGGCCGCUGCGAGCCGAGCUCCCCACGGUCAGGGACCUCUGUGGACGCUUCUGACACAAGCGACCAAAGUGGCCAAGAAGGAGACUGUGCCUGCUCCCUCUGGUACUGAUCCGGCUGCACCAACAGGAGGGGAGCACUGAAGAUCCAGGCGCCUCCAUGUCUACGCGACACUGCUUCCCUCCUGCAGAUGAGUCUGAGCAGACUCAAGAAUAUUAAUGACCUGCCUGGCAGAACAGGGCUCAGACUCAGCAGGUCUGAUUUCAGUUGGUGGCCUGCACAUGCUGCCAGCGAUUUCCAUACUCAUGGAAACAUGGAUGAGGGAUGCGGUCCUGAAUACAGUCAAAUACCUGGUCUGAAAUGAACACUGCUAAUCCAUCUUUACAAUCAUGAUGCUGAUUCUAACUGUAUGCCAAUGUUAAAUCCAUAAAUGCCAUCCUUAUAGAGACAUAUCAAUACUGCAUAGUCACACAACCAGCAUAUGAAACCCGAAAGAUAUAUUUUCUCCUAUACCUAGAUUUACAUCAAUAUGCAACAAAUAAAU
rnacentral:lncRNA from 1 species